GUUUUAGUAGAGCUAUACUAACGUUUGGAAUUUCAUAACAUUUUAGCUUAUUAGCCAUUGUUUGCCUGAUAUUUUUUGACUCUGGUUACAUACCCCUCAAAUUAAACAGCUUGAAAGAGAAAAAUAUAAAGUUCUCUUGAACAAGUUACUUAAAGGCACCUUAAGAGAGGGGGAAGCGGGAGUAGUUCUUUAAAUCUUAAGUGAUAUAUGAAAGUUUGGCAGUGCUAGAUGAUAUGGAUGAGGUGCCAAACUUUUAACUCUUUUAUAUACUAAAGCUCUUCUCAAAUCUUCCUAGGAUAAGGUUGCUGAAAUAAUGGACUCUGAUCUAUAUCCAGACCAUGUGUAAACUUUGUUUGCAAAUGACAUGACAUCGUGUACUGUAUCCUUGGUGGAGAUCCUCAAUUUCUUAGCAGUCUGUUGGGGGACAGACUGAUGCUGCUGAUGCUUGUCUGAUUUAAUGGUUGGCUUCUGGAUAAACAAACUUUGAUGCAAAAUAACUGUCGGGCUUCUACUUUGAUUGAGUCUUUCCCCAAGGUGAUAAUUUUGUGCAGCAGAUUGAAUCCCUGCCCUGCCCUGAACGGAAUCUACCUAUGUCUAUUGGGCUGAACUCCAGCAACUCACAGUUGAAAUCAAGGUAAAUAUCAGCAGAAAAUAUGGUUUCACACUUAGCCUGGGCAGCUGAGUCCCACCUGUGUAUGCAAUGUGCAGCUGUAGCUGCAAUAGAAAUU
rnacentral:lncRNA from 1 species